AGUGCCAGGCCUGCCUUGUGCCCAGCCAGUCACCAGCCGGCUAUGCUGUGACCCCGGGAGAUGAAGAAACUGAGGCCACAGCCAAUGAGACACGAAUGUGGUGUGCAUCUCACCCUUCCCCGUCGGCUUUUUGAGGAUGGUCCUGGUUGAGGUGGGCCCCGUCCUGCCCCUCUAUUUAGAGAAGGGGACCCCAUUCCUACGGGAGCACCUCCUGUCCACUCAUCUGGCCCCUCCCUUUAUCUGGCCUGACCACCUCCACCCCCACCCUGGCCAUGGGCGCCCCUCCCAGGGCUGCGCUCCUCCCCAGGUCUCCUUCCGGCUGCCACCCAUGCUCCCGGCAGCCGUGGCCCCCACCUUGACAGGCACACCCAGCCCCGAAGGGUCAGGGCUAGGCCAGAGAGGGAGAGGCUGGGAUAACCCUUGGAAGGGGGUCACAGGGGCUGCGGUUUGAGGAAUGACUAGGAGUUUGUCACAUAAAAAAGAUGAUGCGGUCGGGCGCGGUGGCUCACGCCUGUAAUCCCAGCACUUUGGGAGGCCGAGGCGGGCGGAUCACAAGGUCAAGAGAUUGAGACCAGCCUGGCCAACAUGGUGAAACCCUGUCUCUACUAAAAAUACAAAAAUUAGCUGGGCAUGGUGGCAUGUGUCUGUAGUCCCAGCUACUCAGGAGGCUGAGGCAGGAGAAUCGCUUGAACGCGGGAGGCGGAGGUUACAAUAAACCCAGAUCGUGCCAGGGCACUCCAGCCUGAGCGACAAAACGAGAUUCCGUCUCAAAAAAAAAAAAAAAAAAAAAAAAGGCCGGGCGCGGUGGCUCAUGCCUGUAAUCCUGGCACUUUGGGAGGCCGAGGCGGGCGGAUCACGAGGUCAGGAGUUCGAGACCAGCCUGAUCAACAUGGUGAAACCCUGUCUGUACUAAAAACACAAAAAUUAGCCAGGCGUGGUGAUGUGCGCCUGUAAUCUCAGCUACUUGGGAGGCUGAGGCGGGAGCAUUGCUCGAACCCGGGAGACGGAGAUUGUGGUGAGCUGAGAUUGUGCCAUUGCACUCCAGCCUGGGCAAUAAGAGCGAAACUCCUCUCAAAAAAAAAAAAAAAAAAAAAAAAAAAAGACGAUGGUCCAGGAAGUGGGAAUGGCUUGAGCAGUUCUGGGAGCUUAGUGAACUGGACCCAGUUGGAGGGAGGAGGGGCAGGGUCGAUGAAUGGGGCUUGGAUGAAGGGCUGGGGCCCCAGGUGGGAACUACAGGGCCAGGCUCAUUCUGCUUCCAGUGAGAACAAAGGUGGCGGAGGGAGCCGUGGACUGGUGCCAAAUGAGCAGCCCAAGCAGGACACUGGGGCCCCCUGUGAGUGGCCAGCAGCCCCCACCUCCCUCCCUGCCUCUUGCCUCUCGUGUGUGGCUCUGCCACCUGCACACCGUCACCUCAGUCUGGUCGGGAGUGGAAUGGACACCGUCACCUCAGUCUGGUCGGGAGUGGAAUGGACACCGUCACCUCAGUCUGGUCGGGAGUGGAAUGGACACCAUCACCUCAGUCUGGUCGGGAGUGGAAUGGGACACGGGUUGUCGGAACUUGCUGGGCUUCACAGGGGCCACUGUGUGGCCCUUUGGGGACCAGAUGCCCAGAGCCAGUCUAAAUGAAUAAACAUGCUAAAACGCUUCCCCACCA